GACGAACGCUGGCGGCGUGCUUAACACAUGCAAGUCGAACGCAGAGGCCCUGCUUUUGUUGUUUGCGCGAGUGUCGAGCGGGUGAGUAACACGUGAGUAACCUGCCCUUGACUGUGGGGUAACUUCAUGGAACUGGGGCGCAUACCGGGUAUGAGAUCCUUCUUCGUGUGGUAGGUUGGUAAAUGGCGCCACUUCGGGAUUUACGGGCGGCUCUGCGGUUUGUUGGUGGGUUGGUGGGGUACCGGCUCAUAAAGGCGUAGCCGGGUAGCCGGCCUGAGAGGGUGACAGGCCACAGUGGGACUGAGGUACGGCCCAGACUGCUACGGCAGGCAGCAGUGGGGAUCAUUGCAAAAUGGGCGGAAGCCGUAUGCAGCAUCGCCGCGUGCGGGAUCACGGCCGUAGGGUUGUAAACCGCUUUCGCCUGUGACGAAGCGUGAGUGACGGUAAUGGGUAAAGAAGCACCGGCUAACUACGUG
rnacentral:rRNA from 1 species